GACGAACGCUGGCGGCGUGCUUAACACAUGCAAGUCUAACGGAAAGGCCCUGCUUUUGUGGGGUGCUCGAGUGGCGAACGGGUGAGUAACACGUGAGUAACCUGCCCUUGACUUUGGGAUAACUUCAGGAAACUGGGGCUAAUACCUGAUAGGAGCUCCUGCUGCAUGGUGGGGUUUGGAAAGUUUCGGCGGUUGGGGAUGGACUCGCGGCUUAUCAGCUUGUUGGUGGGGUAGUGGCUUACCAAGGCUUUGACGGGUAGCCGGCCUGAGGGGUGACCGGCCACAUUGGGACUGAGAUACGGCCCAGAGUCCUACGGGAGGCAGCAGUGGGGAAUAUUGCACAAUGGGCGGAAGCCUGAUGCAGCAACGGCGCGUGCGGGAUGACGGCCUUCGGGUUGUAAACCGCUUUCGCCUGUGACGAAGCGUGAGUGACGGUAAUGGGUAAAGAAGCACCGGCUAACUACGUG
rnacentral:rRNA from 1 species